ACCCCUAAUCCUGUUUCUCUCCUUCCUCCUCACGCGGCGUCCGCAACUCCUCCUCUCGGGCGAAACCACAACGAGGAGCUAGGGCUUCUCCGGUGGCCGGCCAAAGGGAUUCUGCGAGUUCUUCUCGGAUCCGAGCUUCCCCCGUCAAGAGGGAACUGUUAGCACGAAGAAGGGUCGGAGAUCUCGAGCUGUCCGAACCCUAGAAGUUUUUCCCAUUCGGUUUGAAACCAAGAACAUGCUAUACAGGAAAGGAAAAGAUUUAGCAAAGGAAGGCGACAAGGUGGCGCGGAUGGUGUGUGAUGCCAGGACUAUGGAAGUCUUGGGACUUAGUCUAAGAAUUUGUUAGAUUAAUUCUGUAUAUAGGUUGACAAGAAAAUUUAAGCUGUAAUUUAUUUUGUUUCCGUUGUUCAUUACUUGCAUGAUUUGAUUUUAUUAAACUGCGUGGUGAUGUUAUUUCUUU